rnacentral:tRNA from 1 species
GGUUCCAUAGUGUAGUGGUUACACGCUCGCUUCAUAUGUGAGAGGCCCAAGGUUCGAACCCCAGUAGAAUUU